GACGAACGCUGGCGGCGUGCCUAAUACAUGCAAGUCGAGCGGAUGACAGAGGAGCUUGCUCCUCUAGAUUCAGCGGCGGACGGGUGAGUAACACGUGGGCAACCUGCCCUGUAGAUUGGGAUAACUCCGGGAAACCGGGGCUAAUACCGAAUAAUCCUUCGGACCUCAUGGUCCGAUGUUGAAAGGCGGCUUCGGCUGUCACUACAGGAUGGGCCCGCGGCGCAUUAGCUAGUUGGUGAGGUAACGGCUCACCAAGGCCACGAUGCGUAGCCGACCUGAGAGGGUGAUCGGCCACACUGGGACUGAGACACGGCCCAGACUCCUACGGGAGGCAGCAGUAGGGAAUCUUCCGCAAUGGACGAAAGUCUGACGGAGCAACGCCGCGUGAGUGAGGAAGGCCUUCGGGUCGUAAAGCUCUGUUGCCAGGGAA
rnacentral:rRNA from 1 species